rfam:Propionibacterium acnes JCM 18909 DNA, contig: contig00002.
CGAGCCAUCCGGGUGAUCGCGGCAGCGGUGUGAGUUGUCGAGGAAAGUCCGGGCUCCAUAGAGCAGGGUGGUGGGUAACGCCCACCCGGGGUGACCCGCGGGAAAGUGCCACAGAGAACAGACUGCCGGUUUCGAGCCGGUGAGGGUGAAACGGCGGAGUAAGAGCCCACCGCGUCAUCGGUGACGGUGACGGCAUGGCAAACCCCACCUGGAGCAAGGCCAAGAAGACCGUGAGGUCGCGGACGCGUUUGAGGGUUGCUCGCUUGAGCGUUCGGGUAGGCUGCGCAGCCGAAAGGCUGGAGGACACCAGCAAUGGUGUUCACAGAUGGAUGAUCACCGGCCCGGCAGGGCUACAGAACCCGGCUUAUAGGAUGGCUCGUCCC